rnacentral:lncRNA from 1 species
AAUGCACGACUUGUUCUUGCCUUCUAAAGCAGAGAGGAGCUUUUGUGGGUAGUUCCUACAGGGAUACAUGGUAGAAAAUUCACCAAACCCAGUGCUGGAGUGACAUGCUCUGGAGUCAGAAGACAGCGAAAAGAGAAGCAGAAGCCCCGGUGGCAAGAGUCUGAAGGGAGAAAAUAACCCAGUUUGGGAAGGACAUUUAAAAGGGGAAAAUAUUAGCAGGAAGGAUGACUGUAGCCUGUGGAUUGUACUGCAGUAGGAAACUGUCCUAGCAAGGCUCCACUUUGCCCCAGCUUCAAGCUGGAAAGGAGGAGAACAUGAAACAUUGCUUGAAGACAAUGGCCGAGACAGCAGGUCCCACCCUGCACAGCCACCAGCAUCUCUCCCCUCAGCCCUGUCUCCUCUUCUGCAGUUGGGAUCUGCACAUUUAAGCCUGAAAUUGUCCUGUGAAGUGAAGUAUGAUCGGACAGCCUCUUUUCAGCUUUUAUGACAAUGGA